CGCCGGGGCGCUCUCUGCGCCUGCCUCCGUCAGCGAGGAUCGCCCGGCUACUUCUGGAGGUCUAUCCCCAGGCCAGGAUGGGGGUUUUCCUCGCCUCUAGCAAGGAGAGGCUCGUCUCCGACAGCCGAGUGAUUCGCCGUACAGACGGGCAUCUGCGGCGUCCUCAGGAACUUCUUCGAUGGGCCUGUCUUCCUCCGAGAUGUUUAUAAAGGGUUAUGGGGUUGGGCCGACGUUAAUGUUACCCUGCUACAAUCGUAAAUGCUUGUUGAAUGACUGAAUGUUAAAGGGAUAAAUGAGCGUAUAACGGAGAAAACUCCGGACUAAAUACCAGAAAGUCUAGUCGUAUAAACUUGUUCUGUGGUAUUUGGGUCAGCGAAGAAGGAACCGUCUUACUCGCUCUGCCUACCCAAUAAGACUGAUGCAAGUUUCAAAUGAGCAUUUGUGUGAAAAUGCUUUUUUAACUGUGCAGGAUACAAAGGAUGCAAAAUUCUCUGCCGCUUAUGGAAUAAUCCCACCCACAGAAAAUGCCAUCAGGGAGCCCACUGCUACUUUUCCUCCUGGAAUUACAUUCUUUCUCUGCAGAUUCUACAUAUUUGAACCCCUGGCCUAGUAAACUUUUCUCAAAGUAUUCUACUUUCUAUCACAUAAAAUUACAUGAAAACAAAAAUAUUAUCCGUGAAAUAUUUGAAUUGCUCAAAAAAAGACUGCAUACUAAAGAUACACCUUGAUGACUACAUUUCACAUUUAGAUAAUAAAGUCUUUUGGCUUUUGGCUAAAUAUAUGAUACUGUAUUUUACUUCUAUGAUGACAUUAUAUUUACAGUGUGCCAGGCAAUGAGCUAAGCACUCUGCAUAUGUUUUCACAGUUAUUUCUUAUAGCAGUGCCAUCCAUGGACACUAUAUUAUAUCUAUUUUAUGGAUGAGUAAACGAUGACUUAGAGAUAUUGAUUAUGUCUAGAUUCACUUGAUUAGUAAGUAGCAAAGUCAGGACUUUAACAAAUUUGAAUGACUGGAGAGACCUGGCUCUUUACUUCUAUUCCUUUAUCCUGAGCUGUCAGAAUUAAAAGUCAUCCUUAAACUUACAGGAAGUGAAGCACAAUUGAAUCUCUUCUCUCUCCGCAUCCUUCCAAUAUCCAGGUUUAAAGCUGUAUUUUCCCGUCUUGGAAACAUUAACUCAUUUUCCCCCACACGGAUAAUUUGGCACCAAAUGUUUCUUGCUAUGUAUUAGAAAUUUUAUUAUAUUUCUUUUCAAUCUUUUUUUGACGUUUUCUAUAUAUAUGGAAUUUGGGGGGCAGGGCUAAAGAGGUAGAAGUACUAAAAAUGAGAAACCUAGGGAAGAACUAGACUGCCUUUUCCUGGAAAUUUAGAAAACUUAAAAGCUCAAUAAAUUAUUUGAUAUAUACAAGACAUAUGCUGCAGCAUUAUUUGCAACUAUAGACAAUUAGAAACAGCUUAAGUACCCAUAAUAGAGUAGCUAGUAAAUAAUGGUAUAUCUAAUAAUAGCAUACUAUUUAGAUUUUUAAAAGAGUAAGUGCUUUUAACUGUGGAAAAUAGAAUUAGUGAAGAGUUGAUUUCCUUUUUAUAUCUUCUUUACCACUUAGAUGUUUUGCAGUAGGCAUGUAUUAUUUUGAAGAAGCAGUUUUUUCCUAUAUCUAAAUAUAUUCCAGGGAGAAAAUCAUGUUUAAAAAGUUUGUAUAAUACCAUCAUACGGUUGCUUUUAAAAAUAUAUAGUUAUGUGAAUGUAUGUAUUAGUGUGUAUAUACAUACACACACAUAGACGUACACCAAAGAUGUGAGCUUAGAGAUUAUUUUAGUUUGCCUCAUUUUCUACUGUAUCUAAAAUAAGUGUUUGUAUGAUUUUUGCUUAUGUAAUUUUUUAAAUUAAAAAAAUAACUGAUAA